rnacentral:rRNA from 1 species
UACGUAGGGUGCAAGCGUUAAUCGGAAUUACUGGGCGUAAAGCGUGCGCAGGCGGUGAUGUAAGACAGGAUGUGAAAUCCCCGGGCUCAACCUGGGAACUGCAUUUGUGACUGCAUCGCUGGAGUGCGGCAGAGGGGGAUGGAAUUCCGCGUGUAGCAGUGAAAUGCGUAGAUAUGCGGAGGAACACCGAUGGCGAAGGCAAUCCCCUGGGCCUGCACUGACGCUCAUGCACGAAAGCGU